UUACAGCUUUAUAUACAAAAUUACUAAACUACCCUUCUGCAUAUUUACAGUAGUCUAAUAUAAUCCGAUAUAUUCAGUCCUUCCAAAUUGAAUCUGGUAUAUCAGCAACAAAAUCAGGGAUUUUUGUUAAACUUGAUAAACCACAAUUGCAAGAGAUAGCUACAAAAUCUUAUUCAAAACUAAACGUCAAUUCAAAUCUUAUUGGAUUGCAAAUACGUUGAAGCUAAUUUCAAUAGUAUCUUGUAUUCCAUUGCCGAUUCAUCUCUCCUAUUUUGGGUCUUCGGUGUUGAUCUGGUAUGUUUUCCCUUUUUUUUGUUUCACCUAAUUCCCACACAAGUUUCUAAAAAUCGUUUUUUAUACAUUUUCUAUUUGCUUUGAUAUUUUGUCUCUGGGUUUGACCAAUGGGAUGUUUUGAACACUGAAUUCGUAUCUGAAUUAUUAGUUCGCGUUUUCUAUUGUUUAUGUUCGUCAUUUAUGAAGGUACUAAGGGUUAGAAGAUUAGAACUUUGCAUUUUCAUUUGAAUAUUGAUUGUUAUUCCCCACAUCUUUACAUACUUAUUGUAGAUUAAUGCGGAAAAGCUACUAAAGAUAGCAAGUGUUGUUUGCAAGGGUAGUUUUAGAAGGUUAGAACUUUACAUUUGCAUUUGAAUGUCAUAACUGGCACAAUCAAGUGUAGUGAUUCCAUUUUUCUAGCAAAAUAGCAACUUACUUAUGAUUUCUUCCACUUUGAGCAAAAUACCUUGAUUUUUGUAAUAAUUAAAUCCAAAAAUGUUGCUAUGAGGUCGUUGUCGACUCUAAACUUUACAUACACAUACAAGAAAUUAAUGUGCUAUAUAGGUAAUCUCACACUGUUGAUUUCCUUAUUAAAGUUCAGUAAGGUUUAAAUUAAAUGCCAAAUUUUGUGGUGCCUGUUUUCGUGAAUCUAUUUUUCAUAUUGUUGAGGCAAUAAAGGCAUAUUUGAUUAUUGUUAGACUUUUAAACUAAUUAUUUCUGUUAAAAAUAAAGAUAAAACUAUAAUGUUAAUUGGAUAGAUAUUUUAUACGCUAAAAUAUAUAAACAUGCCCUUUUUGGUUAUUUUAUAUUUACCUUUUGUGCAAUAAUUUUCUCAAAAUUCGAUCAUCAAGCUUUUAUUCCAGGCUAUAUAAUUGAUCAAGAAAUUGUCUAGAGAUUAUUAUGUGGCCAAAAGCCCAGCUAUCAAAGGGAUGCUUUUAUGUUCUAAUAACUUGAAAAGUGUAUCCAUGUAUGUUUAAUAGAGAGACGAAGAUGAAGAAAAUGAUCCAAGAUGUUGACUCUAUUUCCACAAUCACAUAGUCAAGUUCUAUAAACAUUAAAAGUGUAUUCAUGCAUGUCGUUUCCACGAUUGAUUGUGUUUUUUUACACUCUAUUCAAAUUUAUAUUAUGUUCUAUAAAAUCAAUAAUUAUAUUAAAUGUCUUUACGUACGUAAUGUAUAUUGGAUAUUCAAAUAAAAAUAUAUAUUAAUUUUA